GCAUAUCAAUAAGCGGAGGAAAAGAAACCAACAGGGAUUGCCUCAGUAACGGCGAGUGAAGCGGCAACAGCUCAAAUUUGAAAUCUGGCCCCCUCGGGGUCCGAGUUGUAAUUUGGAGAAGAUGCUUCGGGUGCGGCUCCGGUCUAAGUUCCUUGGAACAGGACGUCACAGAGGGUGAGAAUCCCGUACGUGCCCGGUGGUCGCCCCCGUGUGAAGCUCUUUCGACGAGUCGAGUUGUUUGGGAAUGCAGCUCUAAAUGGGUGGUAUAUUUCAUCUAAAGCUAAAUAUUGGCCAGAGACCGAUAGCGCACAAGUAGAGUGAUCGAAAGAUGAAAAGCACUUUGGAAAGAGAGUUAAACAGUACGUGAAAUUGUUGAAAGGGAAGCGCUUGCAACCAGACUUGCGCGCGGCCGAUCAUCCGGUGUUCGCACCGGUGCACUCGACCGCGCGCAGGCCAGCAUCGGUUUGGGUGGCUGGACAAAGGCCUCGGGAAUGUGGCUCCCCUCGGGGAGUGUUAUAGCCCGAGGUGCAAUGCAGCCUAUCCGGACCGAGGACCGCGCUUCGGCUAGGAUGCUGGCGUAAUGGUUGUAAGCGACCCGUCUUGAAACACGGACCAAGGAGUCUAACAUCUAUGCGAGUGUUUGGGUGUCAAACCCAUACGCGUAAUGAAAGUGAACGGAGGUGGGAACCCUUAAGGGUGCACCAUCGACCGAUCCUGAUGUCUUCGGAUGGAUUUGAGUAAGAGCAUAGCUGUUGGGACCCGAAAGAUGGUGAACUAUGCCUGAAUAGGGUGAAGCCAGAGGAAACUCUGGUGGAGGCUCGCAGCGGUUCUGACGUGCAAAUCGAUCGUCAAAUUUGGGCAUAGGGGCGAAAGACUAAUCGAACC
rnacentral:rRNA from 1 species